UUUGUAAAUCUCGUCUCAAAUUCAAGAACAGCGUGUUUAAUCGAUAUAUUCUAGCCCUUUGCAAAAAAAGUUUCUUUCAAGAUGCAAAUCUUCGUUAAAAUCCUCACUGAUAAGACCAUCACCCUUGAGGUGGAAAAUUUGGAUACCAUCGACUAUGCAAAGGUCAAGAUUCAAGACAAAGAAGGAAUCCCACCAGACCAACAGAGGUUGAUCUUUGCUGGUAAACAGUUGGAGGAUGGCCGUACUCUGGCUGACUAUAACAUCCAAAAGGAAUCCACACUCCACUUGGUCCUUCGAUUAAGAGGUGGAAUGUAAAUUUUUG